GACGAACGCUGGCGGCGUGCUUAACACAUGCAAGUCGAACGGAAAGGCCCUGCUUUUGUGGGGUGCUCGAGUGGCGAACGGGUGAGUAACACGUGAGUAACCUGCCCUUGACUUUGGGAUAACUUCAGGAAACUGGGGCUAAUACCGGAUAGGAGCUCCUGCUGCAUGGUGGGGGUUGGAAAGUUUCGGCGGUUGGGGAUGGACUCGCGGCUUAUCAGCUUUUUGGUGGGGUAUUGGCUUACCAAGGCUUUGACGGGAAGCCGGCCUGGGAAGGUGACCGGGCACAAUGGGACGGAGAAACGGGCCAGAAGCCUACGGGAGGGAAGAGGGGGGAAAAAUGGACAAAGGGCGGAAGCCUGAUGCAGCAACGCCGCGUGCGGGAUGACGGCCUUCGGGUUGUAAACCGCUUUCGCCUGUGACGAAGCGUGAGUGACGGUAAUGGGUAAAGAAGCACCGGCUAACUACGUG
rnacentral:rRNA from 1 species